AACGAACGCUGGCGGCAGGCCUAACACAUGCAAGUCGAGCGCACCUUCGGGUGAGCGGCGGACGGGUUAGUAACGCGUGGGAACAUACCCUUUUCUACGGAAUAGCCUCGGGAAACUGAGAGUAAUACCGUAUAAGCCCUUCGGGGGAAAGAUUUAUCGGGAAAGGAUUGGCCCGCGUUAGAUUAGAUAGUUGGUGGGGUAAUGGCCUACCAAGUCUACGAUCUAUAGCUGGUUUUAGAGGAUGAUCAGCAACACUGGGACUGAGACACGGCCCAGACUCCUACGGGAGGCAGCAGUGGGGAAUCUUAGACAAUGGGCGCAAGCCUGAUCUAGCCAUGCCGCGUGUGUGAUGAAGGUCUUAGGAUCGUAAAGCACUUUCGCCAGGGAUAUAAUGACAGUACCGUGGUAAAGAAACCCCGCUAACU
rnacentral:rRNA from 1 species